UACGAAGGGGGCUAGCGUUGUUCGGAAUUACUGGGCGUAAAGCGCACGUAGGCGGAAUGUUAAGUCAGGGGUGAAAUCCCGGGGCUCAACCCCGGAACUGCCUUUGAUACUGGCAUUCUCGAGUCCGGAAGAGGUGAGUGGAAUUCCGAGUGUAGAGGUGAAAUUCGUAGAUAUUCGGAGGAACACCAGUGGCGAAGGCGGCUCACUGGUCCGGUACUGACGCUGAGGCACGAAAGCGUGGGGAGCAAACAGG
rnacentral:rRNA from 1 species